rnacentral:rRNA from 1 species
CCUACGGGAGGCAGCAGUGAGGAAUAUUGGUCAAUGGACGAGAGUCUGAACCAGCCAAGUAGCGUGAAGGAUGACUGCCCUAUGGGUUGUAAACUUCUUUUAUAAAGGAAUAAAACGAGGCACGUGUGCCUUUUUGCAUGUACUUUAUGAAUAAGGAUUGGCUAACUCCGUGCCAGCAGCCGCGGUAAUACGGAGGAUCCGAGCGUUAUCCGGAUUUAGUGGGUUUAAAGGGAGCGUAGAUGGGUUGUUAAGUCAGUUGUGAAAGUUUGCGGCUCAACCGUAAGAUUGGAAUUGAUACUGGCAGUCUUGAGUACAGUUGAGGUAGGCGGAAUUCGUGGUGUAGCGGUGAAAUGCUUAGAUAUCACGAAGAACCCCGAUUGCGAAGGCAGCUUACUAAACUGUGACUGACAUUGAUGCUCGAAAGUGUGGGUAUCAAACAGGAUUAGAUACCCUUGUAGUC